rnacentral:lncRNA from 1 species
UUUUACGAAGAACCACCUUUUUCAAACUAAUAAUUUUGUUGAAGUUGUAAUGCCAAGUGUUUUUUUUAUAAUUCUGCUUCUUAACAAUUGAGUUGUUUUAUUAUUAUGUGGUUUAUAUUGUUUUAAUGAUUAUGAGUAACAUCCUGCUUGAUGAUUAUUUGUGAUUUAUUUAUGUAAUUGUCAAGUCGGAAAGUAGGAUGUUACAAUAAGCCUUAUGGGAUGAGGGUCGUCACAUGAAUUAUUAGUUCUU